CUCGGGCUGUCUCGGUGCCUUUAUUCGGUGGCUCCGCGCAGCGGGUGGGGACACCCCUGCAGAAAAUUUUGGGGUGCAGGGGCAGCAGCGUGCUGGGGUGGCCCCACUGAGCGGGGGGACACGGCAGGGCCCCCCCAGCUCCCCUCAGGGCUGGUGGGGGGCAGCGGGGCCCCGCGGUGCGGUCAGGGGGCGGCGGGACCCCCGGCUCCGUCCUCGCGUGGGUCCGCGCUGGGUCACCGGUGCCUCUCCCGCCCACGCCGCAUGGGCGCCCGGUGCCUCCUGGCCCCGCAGCGGGACGGGGCAGAGAGCAGGGGAUGGAGCGGGGGGAUGCGGGGGGAGCAGGAGCACCGGUGGCGUGCCGCCCUCCCACGUCGAUGGUGGGAUCGGGGCGCUGCAGGGCAGGGGCGAGGUGCACGGCGGCAAGGGGAUGGCGGCGGAGGAAGAGGAGGAAGGCAAAGGGGACGAGGAUUCGCUGGAGCCAUGGCCGCGCUCCUCCUGCCCCCACUCAGCCCCUCGCCAACCCCUGACGAAAUGUUUGCUGGUUGUGCAAGCGGCGGCGGCAGCAGCGCUUUGGCAGAGCGAAGGCCCCGGGGACGCCCCAGCGCCCCCCCCCCCCCCCGGCGCAGCCCCCUGGGCCGAGGGGCCCGGCCGGCCCCCCCUGCCCCCGGCCCAUCCCCGGGGCCNNNNNNNNNNNNNNNNNNNNCCCCACGGCGCAGCCCCCUGGGACGGGGGGCUCGGCCGGACCCCGCUGCCCCCGGCCCAUCCUCGGGGCCAGCCCUGCCCAGGGCAGCACCCGACCGGGACAGGGACAGAGAGCGGCGCUCCCCGGGGCUCUGCCCUGCCCGGUGCGCGGUGCCGGUGACAGCGGCCGGUGUCCCCCGGGGGGACAAUGCCAGGGGGGGAAUCGCUCCCUGCGGUGCCAGAGCCGCCACGCCGUGCCUGGGCCUUCCCCCUCCUCGCGGCGCUUCCCUGCGGCCUCCCUCCCCUCCUGGCUGGUGCUGCCCAGCUCUGGCCUCCUCCCUCUGCCCACCGCCAACCUCUCUGUCCCGCGUGAGCGUCUUCCCCUUCUUGGAGUCCCGUGGGUCGGCCCCGGCCACGGCCAGGAGGGCCACGGCGAGGGCGCAGAGCAGCCGCAGCCUCAUGGCGCUGCGCGGGGCACGGCUCAGCUGCCCGGUGCCACCGCCGGGUGCUCCCCGCCUGGACCUUGGCCCCUGCGGCCGCCCAGCUCAGGAGCGGCCACCCACCGGCCGGGAGGGCAGCAGCGAGGGGCUGGGGGGGCUGCAGGGCUGCUCCUCUCCAGGCCAGGCACGGGCCAGCUCCCCCCCUGCCAGCCCUGCCACCUCCCGGGUCUGCCAGCACCUCCCCACCUCCCCGUCCCCUUCUGCUCUUGGUGGCGGGCACCAGCACCCGGUGCCCAGGCACAGGGCAGCCCCAGGAGCCGCGGGCCCAAGGGGGGGGAUUGGGUUUGUAUGGCAAGGUCUGGUAGUGGGGGGCUGCGGGGGGGGGUCCCUGUGAGCCGGGCCCAGCCGCUGCCCGGUGUCAGAGCAGAGCCGGCUCCGGCUGCCCCAAAGGGCCACGGCUGGGCCGCGAGUGCUGCCGGCUGUGCUGCUGGGGGAGCAGAGUUAGGGAAGGGGGCGGAAAAAAAUUGCUGCACCACAGCAGCUGGGAGAGAGGAGAGAGAAACGUGAGAGACCCUGCAGCCCCCAGGGGAGCGCGGCAGGAGGGCAGGAGGUGCUCCAGGCACGCAGCACAAUUCCCCUGCGGCCUGUGGAGAGGCCCCUGGUGGAGCAGGCUGUCCCCCUGCA
ensembl:lncRNA